rnacentral:tmRNA from 1 species
GGGGGUGACAUGGUUUCGACGGGAGUAGUUGAGAUAAGGGUUGCAUGCCGAGGAUUCCGCAGGCCUCGUUAAAUGGGCGGAAAACAAUUUAAUUGCCGAUAACCAAUUGGCUUUAGCCGCUUAAGCGGCUCGUUCCGCUAAUUUGUUGCCUAUCAAAUUAGCCUGAGCGUAAAAAUUAUAGGCUGUGCUGACUUGAGAUGUUCGGGGGCGAGUCAGCCAGAUAAACCUGAACUAGCUGGCCUUAAAUCCUGCAUCA